GAGACCAGGAACACCUACAAGUACCUGCCUCCUCUCUCCAGGAUCAGCCGUCCUUUGGCUCCACAUCUGUCCCCCUCUCAUCCUCCAGUCCUCCUUGCCUCUCUCCCUCAAACUCCUUCUCUGCCUCUCUCCCCGCAGUGUCCCUAUCUGCCUCAACCUCCCUUUCUUCCUUUGUUCCAUCCUACACUCCCGUUUUGUCCACUGAGAAGACGACUGACCCCUCAUCAGAUGUUGUCUCUGUCCCCGAUCCUGUCUGUGAUCCUGUCUCUGUCCCUUCACCCCUCUCCGCUCUAAAGAACCCAACACAUCUGAAGGACUGCGAGAGUCCAGAGUGGUGGGAGAGGAGGAGCCCAGAAAACAGAGAGACACUAAUGCUUCUGGAACUCCCAGACAAACAGACGGAGUACGCGGAGAGAGACCGGCUGACGGAGUACGCGGCGGGAGACCGGCUGACGGAGUACGCGGCGGGAGACCGGCUGACGGAGUACGCGGCGGGAGACCGGCUGACGGAGUACGCGGCGGGAGACCGGCUGACGGAGUACGCGGCGGGAGACCGGCUGACGGAGUACGCGGCGGGAGACCGGCUGACGGAGUACGCGGCGGGAGACCGGCUGACGGAGUACGCGGCGGGAGGACCGGCUGACGGAGUACGCGGCGGGAGACCGGCUGACGGAGUACGCGGCGGGAGACCGGCUGACGGAGUACGCGGCGGGAGACCGGCUGACGGAGUACGCGGCGGGAGACCGGCUGACGGAGUACGCGGCGGGAGACCGGCUGACGGAGUACGCGGCGGGAGACCGGCUGACGGAGUACGCGGCGGGGUGGACCCAGGCGGAAUACCCGGCGAGGUGGACCCAGGCGGAAUACCCGGCGAGGUGGACCCAGGCGGAAUACCCGGCGAGGUGGACCCAGGCGGAAUACCCGGCGAGAGAGAGACUGGCGGAAUACCAGGCCACUCCUUGGGAAGGCUUACAUCAGUUUACAGAGCACAUGGGGACAGGAAAGGUGACCGACCAAGAACAGACACGUCAGGUUGGAACCUCACAGCUGGAGCCUUCGCCGUUAAGAUGGCUCAGUGUUCCCCAGGUGUUUCUGCACCCGGACACUCCGGCAGCUAAGAGAAUUGCCGGACCGAGCCAUCUGUCCAAGUACCUUAAAGUGAAGGGCCUUCACGACACCGAGCCUAUUAUAGGUCUUGGUAGUGUGUUGGAGUGUCGAGGUAUAUCUCAAGCUACAUUCUUCAUGUGCGUGACCUGUGCUGAGACUUUCUCCAGCACGCACAUCUGUGAACACAUCAUCAGUGCACGGCACCAGCAGUACUACAUGAUUGCCCAGUAUGGUGGUGUCCUCUACGAGUGGCUGAGGGAACUACAGCUGCCCCCGAGUCCACACCUCCUCAGGGAGUUCGCCUGGAGACUGUCACAACUGGAGGUGGAGAUCGACGCACAGGUGAUGCUGCUGGACCCCAUGUGGUAUAAACAUGUGCAGUCAGCUCCAUUUUACCGAGCCAUGCAAUUGCUGCAGGAACAGAACCAGAGCGCCUUGGUUAUGCACACUGCAACCAGACAACAGCUUUCUCUCCCAGCUGAUCCUGACCUGGAAACGGAGCAGGGCUUUGACCAGAGAUACAGGAAAAUGAAUGAACUAACCAUGGAUCAAACUGCGCCUGGUCAUUCCCUGUGGACAUCAGAUACAGGGACUGUUAAACAGCCUGAAGACCUGUUUGAGUCAGUCCAGAGCCUGCAGACGGCAGAAGAAUGGACCAAUACUCUGAACCCAGAUCUGCCCCAGAUCAGCCAAAGAUCAGAAAGGGAAGAGCAUUUUGUGCCAAUCAGAGCCCAGGCACCCCGGAACUCUGAGCCAGUCGGAGCCCAGGCACCCCGGAACUCUGAGCCAAUGUCAACACAGAACCAUGAACCAGUCGGAGCCCAGACACCCCGGAACUCUGAGCCAAUGUCAACACAGAACCAUGAACCAGUCGGAGCCCAGACACCCCGGAACUCUGAGCCAAUGUCAACACAGACACACCAGAGCUCAGAGCCAGUCGGAGCCCAGGCCCUCCAGAACUAUGAGCCAGUCGGGGCCCAGGCCCUCCAGAACUAUGAGCCAGUCGGAGCCCAGGCCCUCCAGAACUAUGAGCCAGUCGGGGCCCAGGCCCUCCAGAACUAUGAGCCAGUCGGGGCCCAGGCCCUCCAGAACUAUGAGCCAGUCGGGGCCCAGGCCCUCCAGAACUAUGAGCCAGUCGGGGCCCAGGCCCUCCAGAACUAUGAGCCAGUCGGGGCCCAGGCCCUCCAGAACUAUGAGCCAGUCGGGGCCCAGGCCCUCCAGAACUAUGAGCCAGUCGGGGCCCAGGCCCUCCAGAACUAUGAGCCAGUCGGGGCCCAGGCCCUCCAGAACUAUGAGCCAUUCGGGGCCCAGGCCCUCCAGAACUAUGAGCCAUUCGGGGCCCAGGCCCUCCAGAACUAUGAGCCAGUCGGAGCCCAGGCCCUCCAGAACUCUGAGCCAAUAAGUACCAGAACUCCACAGAAAACAAAAUCAACCAAAACAGAGACACCAGUGACUUCCUCAGAACCACAUCUGAACCAACACAACACAGUCAUUAUCAAACAGGAGCUUGCGGACCCCGAGGUGGAACCCCAGACCCAGCCUGAGGUGGAUUCUGUACACUGGCCUGAGGUCCAACUGGCUCCUGCAUGUUUGGGAUCCCUGUAUGAAGGUAGAUUUCCCGUUCUCCCAGGACACAGCCAGAGGUUGACAUGUAGAGGAGGUGUUCCUCCCAAAAGCACCAAAGACCUCAACACCUACAUCAAGGAGAAACUGACUCAAGCUGUGGUCGGUCUCAGUGCGUUGAUAGAGUGCUGCUGUGAGGGCCUGGUGUCCUUCUACCUGUGUGUGUCGUGCGGUGGUCGACUGUCUUGUAACAGCCGACAGAACACGUCUGUCCUCAUCAACCACGUCCUCAAAUACAGGCACCGACUCAACUAUCUGACUGUUCGAUAUCCGUGGUAUUUCCAUGGUCUGGUACCUGGCCAGAAUCCGGCAGAAGAGUCCAGACUUCUGAUGCAGAUUGCUAAGGAGGUAGAGGAGCAGAACCAUGAUGAGCCUGGCAUGAUACAGGAGGUGCUCCUGAACCAGGCUGACUUUUUAGCGAUCAAAGGAAUGCUGUUUGAUAAAGCUGUGUCCCGUUUGAAGGAGAUCCGUUCAGAGCAGAACCAAACAGAACUUCUUACCAAGGUCACUAGCAAACCUGAACCAGUAGUGGUCAAGCAGGAGAUGGAGUGCCAGGUGGUGUCCCAUCAUGCCUUGGGGCAGUCUUCGUUGCCGCAGAGAUUGAAGCGCCAUUCUAGCAUCAAAGAGUCACCCGAGCAAGGGAAGAAACCGAAGGUGUCUAGUUCCCCUGAGUGUCAGGCCGUGAAAUCUGACCCUGCCUUUGACAGCUGUCCGUCGUCCUCUGAGGUCACUGAACCUUUUGACCCACCAUCAGGCAACCAGUCGUGCGCCGUCGAAACCUCAUCACUUGGCCACACUGACCCAGAACUGAAAAACACUCCUUCACAUACAGACUCUCAAUGUGAGCUGGAGGUCAGUCCACCCGGUAGCCCUGCUGACAAUCUGACUGUAUCCAAAAUGUUCUCAAGAAAGAAGCAGUCUCACUCGGUUUCCACCCGCGGCCACAAGCUCAGCAACAAACAUUUGGACAAGAAGGAUCCUGCUGACAGGGCUAAGGUCUCUCACGCACACAGCAAUGGCACACGCUCACACAGAGACCGCAGACACACUCACGCACACAGUCAUCACCAACACGCACGCAGUUGCAGUCGUACCAAACACACGCACAGUCUCAGUAAUGCCAAACACACUCGCGUGCGCACUGACCACGCAAGGACAGGCAAAGCCUGGCUCCGUGGCAGGACCCCAGAGAGACGCCGCAACAGAGAUCUUGCUGACCGACGUUCCGACCGCUCGCGCUCUCGUACCCCCCGCAGGAGACGUCGUUCUGUCCCCGGCUGCUCUCCGAAAGACCCGCCCACGGUUUGUCCCUUCAAGACCCACCAGGCCUCCACCUACUGCCUUUUCACUCACACCCCAUCCUAUCCCAGCAAAUCCACUUCGGCCCACAGUCUGGCCCGGGAUGACCCCAGCCAACCGCCGUGCCCGUCUAAAGACCUGUCCAGCCAGUCCAGCCCGGCAGACAGGAGACCGUCCAAACCAACCACAGUGGUUAGGCCUCUCCAGGCCAAGGAGCAUCCACCAAACGACACCCCCGACAUGCCCCUCCACCCAGCGAGAACUGGACCCUGGACCCCACCGCCCCUGCCAGCCACCCCUACCCUCCUACCUCCCCCGCCCGAGCAAGAUCUCCUUUCUGCCUCUGGGAAUAAUAUGGCCUCCACUGUGGACGGUAUUAUGUUUAUUGGGGACUCUUCGCUGCGCUUCCCCCACUUGCCUGCUUCGACCACCCUGCCAAGGGCAGUGGGAGGUGGGGCUGAUUCCUGGACCAAGGGCCCUAUCGCUGGCAAGGAGAUGCCCGCCGAGGCGAUGGGGGUGGACUCAAAGGGCCGUGCUAUUGGCACGGUGGCAAUACCGGCCAACCCUCUGAAGAGGAAUCUUUCCGCGCCGGAACCAAAGGACCGAGAUCCCUGGAGCUAUGAGAACCGACAGUUCAUCACCAACCCCAGCAUCCAGGCUUCUAACCCCACUGCCAUUGCCUCACAGGCCCAGUGGGGCUACGCCGGAGGGUUGUCGGUUGGUCAGUUCACCUCUAACCCCGGCAGCUCUGCCCCUUGCCCCGGAGGCCGACUCUCCCUGGAGGGAUACCCUGUAGCCACCUACCCUGGUACGGGUUACCCAGGGGUGGGUGGGUUCACUUCCAGCUCCCCCACUGACCUCGGACCCAGUAACACACAGUCACAGCCCGGGUGGUCAGGGGGCUACUGGGGAACAGGCUACCAAGCUACGAGUCAACCGGAGACUGGCUACGUGUUGGCCAAUCAGGCUGGUCUUUCCUACCCCGGAGGUUUUUCUGGAAGUGAAGGGAGCUACCCCGGACAUCAGGUCUACCCAGGGGUAUUCUAUUCGGACACGGACUACCGUGGGCGUGCCUUCCCCGGGUCGGGUACUGGACUGGGUUCUGCUGGGGUGCCCCCCAGCAGCCACUACUCAACCAAACCACCGCUUCCGGCUGUUGGCUGCUGGGAAUUUGCCUCUCCAGCGGUGGGGAGUUGCCAGAGCUACUCCACCUGGACAGCAAAUGUCACCAGGGUUGCCAUGGAAACCAACACUGCUGGUAUUACUGUUGGGACCCCAACCCAGCUUGUCGGUCAAACCUGGGACCCCCGUGAGUGGAUGCCACCCCCUCAGUGAGCAUUGCCAGUGUGGAUGUCAAAGUGAGUGUUUGAACAGGGAAUGGAG
rnacentral:lncRNA from 1 species